UGAAUUUUUGUGUGAAUUCUUAAAAGAAUUCAGAAGUUCUGAUUGAUUGAUUUAAAAAAAGGUUAGAGCUCUACAAGGAUCUUCCUGGCUUCUCAGCUAGCACUAAAUCACCUGAGCAGCUAGUUGGUAUCCAUUACUGGAAGCAGAGCAACAAUGACAACAGCAGAGACAAUAGUUAACCAACCAAUAGAGAAAAAGUAGCUCUUAGAGAGAGGAAACCCUGGAAAGAAAGAGUCCAUUCACAUGGAUCAGGCUAGGCUCAGUGGAGCUCUGCCCCCAAAUAAAGACUUUCAUCCGGAGCUGGCAUUCUUGUUCUGAUGAUUACAAUAGCAAGGCGGAGAGGUGGGACUGAAUCUGUUGUACAAACUAACAACCUAAUGAAGAUCUAAAUUUGCUCGUUAUCCCUUGAAACAGCAGUUAGGAGGUACAGAGGGGAAGGGAUAUUGUUGUUCUUUUGCUCACUCGGCAAGGAGAAGGAAGCAAUUUAAAUAAAAUAUCUGACAAAUAAACUGGUGGGAAUUUG
rnacentral:lncRNA from 1 species